rnacentral:tRNA from 1 species
GGGGUUGUGGCUCAGUGGUAGAGUGCCUGCCUAGCACACAUGAGGCACUGGGUUCAAUCCUCAGCACCA